rnacentral:rRNA from 1 species
CACGUAGGGCGCAAGCGUUGUCCGGAAUUAUUGGGCGUAAAGAGCUCGUAGGCGGUCUGUUGCGUCCGCUGUGAAAACUCGGGGCUUAACCCCGAGCCUGCAGUGGAUACGGGCAGGCUAGAGUGCGGGAGAGGAGAGUGGAAUUCCUGGUGUAGCGGUGAAAUGCGCAGAUAUCAGGAAGAACACCCGUGGCGAAGGCGGCUCUCUGGAACGCAACUGACGCUGAGACGCGAAAGCGUGGGGAGCAAACAGG